rnacentral:rRNA from 1 species
AUUUACAUUUGAGUGAGUGGCGAACUGGUGAGUAACACGUGGGAAACCUGCCCAGAAGCGGGGGAUAACACCUGGAAACAGAUGCUAAUACCGCAUAACAACUUGGACCGCAUGGUCCGAGUUUGAAAGAUGGCUUCGGCUAUCACUUUUGGAUGGUCCCGCGGCGUAUUAGCUAGAUGGUGAGGUAACGGCUCACCAUGGCAAUGAUACGUAGCCGACCUGAGAGGGUAAUCGGCCACAUUGGGACUGAGACACGGCCCAAACUCCUACGGGAGGCAGCAGUAGGGAAUCUUCCACAAUGGACGAAAGUCUGAUGGAGCAACGCCGCGUGAGUGAAGAAGGGUUUCGGCUCGUAAAACUCUGUUGUUAAAGAAGAACAUAUCUGAGAGUAACUGUUCAGGUAUUGACGGUAUUUAACCAGAAAGCCACGGCUAACUACGUGCCAGCAGCCGCGGUAAUACGUAGGUGGCAAGCGUUGUCCGGAUUUAUUGGGCGUAAAGCGAGCGCAGGCGGUUUUUUAAGUCUGAUGUGAAAGCCUUCGGCUCAACCGAAGAAGUGCAUCGGAAACUGGGGAACUUGAGUGCAGAAGAGGACAGUGGAACUCCAUGUGUAGCGGUGAAAUGCGUAGAUAUAUGGAAGAACACCAGUGGCGAAGGCGGCUGUCUGGUCUGUAACUGACGCUGAGGCUCGAAAGUAUGGGUAGCAAACAGGAUUAGAUACCCCUGGUAGUCCAUACCCGUAAACGAUGAAUGCUAAGUGUUGGA